CUAUAUCAUACAAGUUAUAGUGAACACUAAAAGCAAAGCAAUGUGACAAAGCCUUGAUAUACAUUAGUUUUUACAAAUAUCUUUCUCAGUAAUAACAGUCGCAACAUAAUGUUGACUAGGACUGCACAUUAAUAAAUAUGUUACACAAUUCGAGUUCACAAAAUGAACUGUGUUUGAAAAUAAAUAUAAUUGUAAGUGCAUGAUUAAUUUGAUGCAUGAAAUUUUAACUAAGUCAUAUAACGUGGUCUGCCAUUUAAA
rnacentral:lncRNA from 1 species